UGUUUUUACAGAUUGGGCAAAUGAUAAAAUACGCACGAAACCAUUUAUGUAAGUACUCAAUUUAACUCACUGUGACAGAUUCCUCUUUAAACUACAUACCGGGGUAUGAAUGCAAUGAUUUAAAACAAUAGCUUGAUCGAAUUAAAUACCAUCUCUUAAAAAAUGAAACACUCAGUUGGUACUUCCAUGUUCAAGGGAAAACUCUAGGUACAAGAAAGUGUAAAAACAACUAUAGUAAUUGAUUCGGCUCAAAAAUUGAACAUUGCAAAACCGGGAGGCUUGACGGCGGUUUCUGAGGCUAACCCGGUAAACCCCACUGGCGGGUCACUAGGGUGAAGCAAAUACGUUGUGAGUUAGCUUAUUAUGCCGACGACAUCGAGAUCAUAACAGCACCCAAUUAAAGGAAGAAAACAAACUGCCAGAAUUUGUACGGGGAAUGAUUUACUAUUUGAACAAAAUUCAAUCAAGGAAUUUGAAGGGCAAGAUGAUGAGCUUUUCUAAAGGAAAAAACAAUAUGUUUUUGGUUUCAAAAUCCGAAAAAAUGAC